UACAGAGGGGGCAAGCGUUGUCCGGAAUCAUUGGGCGUAAAGCGCGUGUAGGCGGUCCGGUAAGUCCGCUGUGAAAGUCGGGGGCUCAACCCUCGAAUGCCGGUGGAUACUGUCGGGCUAGAGUCCGGAAGAGGCGAGUGGAAUUCCCGGUGUAGCGGUGAAAUGCGCAGAUAUCGGGAGGAACACCAAUGGCGAAGGCAGCUCGCUGGGACGGUACUGACGCUGAGACGCGAAAGCGUGGGGAGCAAACAGG
rnacentral:rRNA from 1 species